ACGUAGGUACCGAGCGUUAUCCGGAUUCACUGGGCGUAAAGCGCGUGCAGGUGGUUGGUAAGUCGGGCAUGAAACUCUUGGCUCAACUAAGAGGCGCUGUCCGAUACUGCUGAACUUGAGGGUGUGAGAGGAGGUGGAAUUCGCAUGUAGUGGUGAAAUGCGUAGAUAUGCGGAGGAACACCAGUGGCGAAGGCGGCCUCCUGGCACACUCCUGACACUCGAUACGCGAAAGCUAGGGGAGCGAACGGG
rnacentral:rRNA from 1 species